rnacentral:rRNA from 1 species
UACGUAGGGUGCAAGCGUUGUCCGGAAUUAUUGGGCGUAAAGAGCUUGUAGGCGGUUUGUCGCGUCUGCUGUGAAAUUUCGGGGCUCAACCCUCGAAUGCCGGUGGAUACUGUCGGGCAGAGUGCGGAAGAGGCGAGUGGAAUCCUGGUGUAGCGGUGAAAUGCGCAGAUAUCAGGAGGAACACCGGUGGCGAAGGCGGGUCUCUGGGCCGUAACUGGACGCUGAGGAGCGAAAGCAUGGGGGAGCAACAGG